GGAGGUUUUAAAUGGGAGAAACAAAUACAACUAAAUUAAAUAUGCAUGCCCCCAGUGGGAAGAAGCCGACCUGUGGAGGAGGAGUGUCUGUCCAGUACUGUGAGCACCAUCUCAGCACAGUGGUAACUUCACUUCUUACCCUGUGUUGAAGACCUCGGGGUCUGGUUGAGGUGGAACAGACUAUUCUGGCUCUGCUGGCAACACCCUCAAGCAGGCAGGAUUCAUCCCAGGAGAGAGUGGUGCACAGCAGUCAACAGCUCUGGCAGUGCUGCAGCUGAAUAAGCAUGAGCCUGGGGUGCUUC